UUGUCCCUGAAAGAUACACUUCACGGCAAGUUCGUCCUUGAAAGAUUUUCUGUGUACUAAUUGGUCCGACUGUUUGAAACCUUUGAACCAAUUGGUCCUUCCGUUCGAAACAUUGCCAGGUCCCUGACGGAAAUCCAACUAGACGCCGUGAGGGUCAAUGUUGGUUGCCCCUGCUCCUCUUCUUCACGGUUUCCCGCUCGAAAUUCCCCUAAAUCGAGCAAACCCUAAGUGAGGAGCAAACCCUAAUUGAGGUGCCUUCUUCCGAUUAGUCAUCAAAUUGGCCCAUACGGCAGUAGAUUUAUGCAAUUCAGUGUCUCGCCCGCGAUCUGAAGUCGAAAUCGUGGUUGCUGUCUCACUGAUUGUUGGUCGCCCGUGAGCAUCCUCUGUGGGAGUUGGAACUUGGUCAUCCGUUACGCGAGUUCUGAUUCUUAGCCCAUUUGGAAUCGACAUUGAAUAGAGACAGUACAAGUAGAGAGAACAGAGACAGUGCAAGCAGUGAUAACGACCCGAGGAAUCACAAAAGAUAUGGGAGAUGAGGGAAGCCAUUGGAGUGGGACAAACCAAUAUGUCCAAAAGUCCACUGCUUCUUUACCAGUUGAGGAAUCAGUCAAUCUCUGUGGGUGUGGAAGGAAGCUCCUAUUACAAACAUCUACAAAGAAACAAAGCUAUGGUAGGCGUUUCCUUGGUUGUCCCUUAUGGAAAAGAAGUGAUCUUACAUCUGGAUAAUUUGAAUGGGUUGAUAAUGAUGAGCAACUUGAAGUGCAGCAGGGUACAAGACCCCGGACUAAAGCUUCUUUUACAUCCCCGAAGAAACAAGUUUUAAAUGGAGAAGAUAACAAGCUCAUGAAGAAUAUGAAGAAGAAAAUUCAAAUGUAUGAAUAUGAAAACAAAAUGCUGAAGAUUGCAUGUGGUGUAUUGGUUUUUAUCCUUGUUUUAGUCUUAGUUUGUGUUUGUCUUAGUAGAAGGUAACGUGUUAGCUCAUGUGAAUGGGAUACUGUAGACUUGUGAAUUUCUACUUUAUAUUGAAAUGACUCUGUUAUUGCUAAUAUAAUACAAUGUUUGGCUU